AUAUCAAUAAGCGGAGGAAAAGAAACUAACAAGGAUUCCCCUAGUAACGGCGAGUGAAGCGGGAAGAGCACAAAUUUAAAAUCUACCUGGUUUCCAGGUCGAGUUGUAAUUUGAAGAUACGUUUUUGAUGUUCCUGGUUGGACUAAAUCCUUUGGGAUAGGGUAUCAUAGAGGGUGAGAAUCCCGUGUAUACCAACCACAGGGAUGUUAUUUAAUAACGUUUCUAAGAGUCGAGUUGUUUGGGAAUGCAGCUCUAAAUGGGUGGUAAAUUUCACCUAAUGCUAAAUAUAAGCGAGAGACCGAUAGCGAACAAGUACAGUGAUGGAAAGAUGAAAAGAACUUUGAAAAGAGAGUUAAAUAGUACGUGAAAUUGUUGAAAGGGAAACGAUUGAAGUCAGUCAUGCCGGCGGGAAUCAACUUAGGGGAAACUCUGGGUGCACUUCUUCGUUUGGCAGGUUAGCGUCGAUUUUGGAUGUCAUAAAAUAAUUGGGGGAAGGUAGCUCCUUCGGGAGUGUUAUAGCCCUUGGUAGAUGUGAUAUUUGGGAUCGAGGAUUGCAACGGAUACCCUUCGGGGCUAGCCGCCUAAUCUCUAAUUGGUGUUGGGUUACGGACAGCAUGCUGACCGUGAUCUAAUUACUGGUUAAAAGGUUAGAGCGUGCAUAAAUUCGUUAAGGACGCUGACGUAAUGGCUUUAAACGACCCGUCUUGAAACACGGACCAAGGAGUCUAACAUGUAUGCGAGUGUUAGGGUAUUAAACCCAGACGCGAAAUGAAAGUGAGUGUAGGUGGGAUCCUUUAUUGGAGCACCAUCGACCGAUCUUGAGAUUUAUCGAUAGAAUUGAGUUAGAGCAUACCUGUUGGGACCCGAAAGAUGGUGAACUAUGCCUGAAUAGAGCGAAGCCAGAGGAAACUCUGGUGGAGGCUCGUAGCGGUUCUGACGUGCAAAUCGAUCGUCAAAUUUGGGUAUAGGGGCGAAAGACUAAUCGAACCAUCUAGUAGCUGGUUCCUGCCGAAGUUUCCCUCAGGAUAGCAGAAACUCGUAACAGUUUUAUGAGGUAAAGCGAAUGAUUAGAGGCCUUAGGGUUGAAACAGCCUUAACCUAUUCUCAAACUUUAAAUAUGUAAGAAGCUAACAGGUUACUUAAUUGAACCUGGGCAAUCGAAUGAGAGUUUCUAGUGGGCCAUUUUUGGUAAGCAGAACUGGCGAUGCGGGAUGAACCGAACGUAAGGUUAAGGUGCCCAAAUUCACGCUCAUUUAGACACCACAAAAGGUGUUAGUUCAUCUAGACAGCAGGACGGUGGCCAUGGAAGUCGGAAUCCGCUAAGGAGUGUGUAACAACUCACCUGCCGAAUGAACUAGCCCUGAAAAUGGAUGGCGCUCAAGCGUGAUACCUAUACCUUACCGUCAGGGUUAAAUUGAAGCUCUGACGAGUAGGCAGGCGUGAAGGUCGUGAAGAAGUCAUGGGUGUAAACCUUGAUGGAACGGUCUUUAGUGCAGAUCUUGGUGAUAGUAGCAAAUAUUCAAAUGAGAACUUUGAAGACUGAAGUGGAGAAAGGUUCCAUGUGAACAGUGAUUGGACAUGGGUUAGUCGAUCCUAAGAGAUAGGGGAAUUCCGUUUUAAAGGGGACUAUUUUUAGUCACGCCUAUCGAAAGGGAAGCAGGUUAAUAUUCCUGCACCUGAAUGCGGAUAAUUAAUACGGUAACGUUAACUGAACUUGGUUACGUCUGUGAGGGCUUCGGGAAGAGUUAUCUUUUCUUUUUAACUAUCUUUUAAACCUUGGAAUUUCGGAUUAACCGGAGAUAAGGUAUAAAGGUAGGAAGAGCUUGACACUUAAGUCAGGUCCGAUGCGUUCUCAAUGACCCUUGAAAAACCAAGGGAAAGAUUUAUUUUCGCGUCAGGUCGUACUCAUAACCGC
rnacentral:rRNA from 1 species